AUACGUAGGUGGCAAGCGUUGUCCGGAUUUAUUGGGCGUAAAGCGAGCGCAGGCGGUUUCUUAAGUCUGAUGUGAAAGCCCCCGGCUCAACCGGGGAGGGUCAUUGGAAACUGGGAGACUUGAGUGCAGAAGAGGAGAGUGGAAUUCCAUGUGUAGCGGUGAAAUGCGUAGAUAUAUGGAGGAACACCAGUGGCGAAGGCGACUCUCUGGUCUGUAACUGACGCUGAGGCUCGAAAGCGUGGGGAGCAAACAGGAUUAGAUACCCUGGUAGUCCACGCCGUAAACGAUGAGUGCUAAGUGUUGGAGGGUUUCCGCCCUUCAGUGCUGCAGCAAACGCAUUAAGCACUCCGCCUGGGGAGUACGACCGCAAGGUUGAA
rnacentral:rRNA from 1 species